rnacentral:rRNA from 1 species
GUUUCCGUAGGUGAACCUGCAGCUGGAUCAUUA